GAUGAACGCUGGCGGCGUGCCUAAUACAUGCAAGUCGAGCGAACGGACGAGAAGCUUGCUUCGCUGAUGUUAGCGGCGGACGGGUGAGUAACACGUGGAUAACCUCCCUAUAAGACUGGGAUAACUUCGGGAACCCGUAGCUAAUACCGGCUAAUAUUUUGAAACGCAUGGUUCAAAAGUGAAAGACGGUCUUGCUGUCACUUAUAGAUGGAUCCGCGCUGCAUUAGCUAGUUGGUAAGGUAACGGCUUACCAAGGCAACGAUGCAUAGCCGACCUGAGAGGGUGAUCGGCCACACUGGAACUGAGACACGGUCCAGACUCCUACGGGAGGCAGCAGUAGGGAAUCUUCCGCAAUGGGCGAAAGCCUGACGGAGCAACGCCGCGUGAGUGAUGAAGGUCUUCGGAUCGUAAAACUCUGUUAUUAGGGAAGAACAUAUGUGUAAGUAACUGUGCACAUCUUGACGGUACCGAAUCAGAAAGCAACGGCUAACUACGUG
rnacentral:rRNA from 1 species